AAGUCGUAACAAGGUUUCCGUAGGUGAACCUGCGGAAGGAUCAUUACAGAGAACAUGCCCUUUAGGGUAUAUCUCCCACCCUUUGUCUAUAAUAUCUUUGUUGCCUUGGCAGGCCUGUUUUACAACUACUGGCCUUGGCUAGUUAGUGCCUGCCAGAGGACCCAUUAAUUCUUUAUAUUGCUGUCUGAGUAUGAUAUAAUAUUUAAAACUUUCAACAACGGAUCUCUUGGUUCUG
rnacentral:misc_RNA from 1 species